UUGGCUGCAGUCAGACUAUGUGAAAAAUGAGUGGAAAACGGGCGCACCUGUGCGGGGGGCGUUGCCUUCGGCUUUUCACGCUGACCGGUCAAACGAAACGCUAGGAGUUCUUUAAUGUUUUUGCAAAGUUAUUAAAGUUUAGUUCUGGAGAGACGGCCGGGACCUUCUUACUCUCCUAAUGUUUAAACAUAUGCCAGAAGCAAGAAGAAUACAGGUCAUUUCAACAACGCGAAACAGCAUCACUAUGCUUUUUAAAGUACAGCACAGAGGACACAAAAAUACUCUUAAUUAAAGCAUAAUGGAGCCUCUGUAAGAAUUACUCACAGAAGAAAUUCAACAUCAGCAGUAACACCGAAGUGCACAUUAUGGACGACACCAGGGUCGAAGUCUAUGAAGAUAAACGUCAGUGAAGUGUUGGAUGAGAAGUCGGACAUGAAACGGAAAGUUAGCGAUGGUGCUGCACCUUAAGGAGCACUUUUGUGAGGAAGAAAGUAGCAUGGCACUUAAAAGCAACUCCGCACAAAAUAUUCUGCAGGAGCAGUGACAACCACGGAAGAGACAGUUGAAAAAGUAAGUGGCCAGGCACUGAACGAUCAUUUAAACUUGCCUAAGGAUCAGCUAGAAGGUGACAGCGGUAGAGAGGCUGUUCCCUUACUGAAACAUGCGACAGUCCGGGCCCAGGUCAUCUCAAAGAUGAGAUCAGCCUUCAAGUGCAGGCCACAAUUAAUUCAUGAUGCAAAGAAGUCGACUACGGCACUUGAAGUGUGUCUAUGGUUUCUGGAUGUGAAAGGCCUGGUUCUUCAAAACUUUGAAUUGCUUUUUGGAAUGGAGACUUCAUCCAGGCUUCUGGAGACAUGGGUCACAUUCUUCAAGACCAAACUCAUCAGAAAGCCAAGAACAUUACUCAGACUUAUUGCUGAGCAAACUUAUCCAGUCUGCCGAGAAUAUUCAUGAUCCAAGUGACAUGGCAUCAAUCCUGCUGCUUCGAUAUCUGUUUCCACCUCCACCAAACAGAGGGCUGUAAAGAAAAAUGUCCAUGAAGCUGUUGAACAUGUUGUCAAAUUUCACAAGCCUUGAAGAUCACAUCAAUCAGACUGAGGAGCGAACAGUCCUACCUUCUGGCAGCUGGAACAAAGCAAAGAACGGCAUCCAUGACUUCUACAUUGUGCUGGAUGGUCAUCUCUUUCCUUGUCAAGUGAGGUCGUCCCUGUCAGUUUUUGAUAAUCUUUCUAAAAUACAUUCCGUGUUUGACAUCUCUUAUGAUGAGUCAUUUGACAGAGCAUGUACACUGUAAUAUAGACCACCAUAUAGAAGUAGAGGUGGCAAAAGAAAGAGAAAUGGAGAAGAAAAGAAUAAAGAAAGAAAAAAGCAAAAGGGACUGAACUUUAUUGUGAAGAAUAGUGAUGUUGUUGCUGAUCUGUGCACUGUGCUGAAAGAAAACAAAAGAAGAAAAUAAAAGUGUCGGCCUUUGGGACUUGUGUUUCAGUGUCUGUGUCGGGGCUGAUCUUCCUCAGUGUGUUGAGAGAUUUUAUUCUUUUUAUGCUUUCUGAAAGCAUCUUUUAAAAAUUACAUGUUUGUAGUGACCCGCCACUUCUACAUGAAAAUUCCUUUCCUCCAA